rnacentral:rRNA from 1 species
AUUGAACGCUGGCGGCAGGCCUAACACAUGCUAGUCGAGCGGAUGAAGGGAGCUUGCUCCUGGAUUCAGCGGCGGACGGGUGAGUAAUGCCUAGGAAUCUGACUGGUAGUGGGGGAUAACGUCCGGAAACGGGCGCUAAUACCGCAUACGUCCUGAGGGAGAAAGUGGGGGAUCUUCGGACCUCACGCUAUCUGAUGAGCCUAGGUCGGAUUAGCUAGUUGGUGGGGUAAAGGCCUACCAAGGCGACGAUCCGUAACUGGUCUGAGAGGAUGAUCAGUCACACUGGAACUGAGACACGGUCCAGACUCCUACGGGAGGCAGCAGUGGGGAAUAUUCGACAAUGGGCGAAAGCCUGAUCCAGCCAUGCCGCGUGUGUGAAGAAGGUCUUCGGAUUGUAAAGCACUUUAAGUUGGGAGGAAGGACAGUAAGUUAAUACCUUGCUGUUUUGACGUUACCAACAGAAUAAGCACCGGCUAACUUCGUG